CAGCAGCCGCGGUAACACGUAGGGUGCGAGCGUUGUCCGGAAUUACUGGGCGUAAAGGGCUCGUAGGUGGUUUGUCGCGUCGUCUGUGAAAUUCCGGGGCUUAACUCCGGGCGUGCAGGCGAUACGGGCAUAACUUGAGUACUGUAGGGGUAACUGGAAUUCCUGGUGCAGCGGUGAAAUGUGCAGAUAUCAGGAGGAACACCGAUGGCGAAGGCAGGUUACUGGGCAGUUACUGACGCUGAGGAGCGAAAGCAUGGGUAGCGAACAGGAUUAGAUACCCGUGUAGUCCCUGUCUCUUAUA
rnacentral:rRNA from 1 species